rnacentral:rRNA from 1 species
GGUUAAGCGACUAAGCGUACACGGUGGAUGCCCUGGCAGUCAGAGGCGAUGAAGGACGUGCUAAUCUGCGAUAAGCGUCGGUAAGGUGAUAUGAACCGUUAUAACCGGCGAUUUCCGAAUGGGGAAACCCAGUGUGAUUCGUCACACUAUCAUUAACUGAAUCCAUAGGUUAAUGAGGCGAACCGGGGGAACUGAAACAUCUAAGUACCCCGAGGAAAAGAAAUCAACCGAGAUUCCCCCAGUAGCGGCGAGCGAACGGGGAGCAGCCCAGAGCCUGAAUCAGUGUGUGUGUUAGUGGAAGCGUCUGGAAAGGCGCGCGAUACAGGGUGACAGCCCCGUACACAAAAAUGCACAUACUGUGAGCUCGAUGAGUAGGGCGGGACACGUGGUAUCCUGUCUGAAUAUGGGGGGACCAUCCUCCAAGGCUAAAUACUCCUGACUGACCGAUAGUGAAC